rnacentral:rRNA from 1 species
GACGAACGCUGGCGGCGUGUUUAACACAUGCAAGUCGAACGGAAAGGCCCUGCUUUUGUGGGGUGCUCGAGUGGCGAACGGGUGAGUAACACGUGAGUAACCUGCCCUUGACUUUGGGAUAACUUCAGGAAACUGGGGCUAAUACCGGAUAGGAGCUCCUGCUGCAUGGUGGGGGUUGGAAAGUUUCGGCGGUUGGGGAUGGACUCGCGGCUUAUCAGCUUGUUGGUGGGGUAGUGGCUUACCAAGGCUUUGACGGGUAGCCGGCCUGAGAGGGUGACCGGCCACAUUGGGACUGAGAUACGGCCCAGACUCCUACGGGAGGCAGCAGUGGGGAAUAUUGCACAAUGGGCGGAAGCCUGAUGCAGCAACGCCGCGUGCGGGAUGACGGCCUUCGGGUGGUAAACCGCUUUCGCCU